rnacentral:piRNA from 1 species
UCCUGCUGCCUCACCUUCUACUUUGUUUGA